AGGAACUCACGAGGACAUCAGUUGGCUUAGAAGAUUUGGCACCGAGUGCCAGAAAACCUUGAACUGAGAAGGGAUGUUUGAAAGCAGUGCCUCCCCGUUGCUCCUCAAGAAAAGCCUUUUCUGUACUGGCAGACCGAGGAAGAAGAGGAGCCACAGAAAGAAGGAGACUUUGCAAGGACACCCCGGCUGAGAGGGUUUCAGGGGCAGCCAUUCCUAGAUGCCUCCACCGUGGCCGUUCCCAAGUCCGCCUGAGAGCAGCCUCCCGUUUGAAGUUGUCCCUCGGAAGCCACUGCUCACCCAGCCACCUCGUGCAUAGAUGACCACGUGGUUACGUGUCACCAACAGAAAGUGAGCAGUCGCAGUGUGUGCAAGCUCCGGGCCAAGGCUUUUAAGAAGGAGUCGUGUCUUUUCAAGCUUUCUUCUCCCUUCCCUCGAGCUGGAUUCUGCUAAGAUGAUGAGAGGAGCCUGGCAAGUGAA